rnacentral:rRNA from 1 species
UACGGAGGGCGCUAGGGUUGUUCGGAAUUACUGGGCGUAAAGCGCGCGUAGGCGUCUUUGUAAGUUAGAGGUGAAAGCCCGGGGCUCAGCCCCGGAACUGCCUUUAAGACUGCAUCGCUUGAAUCCGGGAGAGGUGAGUGGAAUUCCGAGUGUAGAGGUGAAAUUCGUAGAUAUUCGGAAGAACACCAGUGGCGAAGGCGGCUCACUGGACCGGCAUUGACGCUGAGGUGCGAAAGCGUGGGGAGCGAACAGG